rnacentral:rRNA from 1 species
UACGGAGGGGGCUAGCGUUGUUCGGAAUUACUGGGCGUAAAGCGCACGUAGGCGGGUUUGUAAGUCGGAUGUGAAAUCCCUAGGCUUAACCUGGGAACUGCAUCCGAAACUAUAAAUCUUGAAUACCUCAGAGGUUGGUAGAAUUCCUGGUGUAGGAGUGAAAUCCGUAGAUAUCAGGAGGAAUACCGGAGGCGAAGGCGGCCGACUGGGAGAGUAUUGACGCUGAGGUGCGAAAGCGUGGGGAGCAAACAGG